CCGCGACACGCAGAACUGUUCUUACACUUGGCAUUAGGUGCAUCGUGCCCUCGGGCAGAGAAAGGAAAUCGCCGGCGCGAGCGGGCCACGUGGACCCGGCCGGGCGGCCUCUGGCCCCUUCUGCCCUCGCCUCCAUCCCUACGAAAAGGGACUGGGAAGUGAUUCUGGCGCCACUCCACCAAGAAGGGGGCAGAGACGCUGUCAAUGGAAGGGGCGUGCCGAGGGGCACCUGGCAAGUUGGCGGCGCCAGUAAACCGUGUCUGACAUAUGCAGGUGUCUUCCAGCUAGAUGGCAGACAGCAGCGGACCCGCGGAGAUACACGUUCCUCUUUGCAAGCCAGAGACUCGGCUGAGGGCGUUAGGGGAAGGGGUGGGAGGUAAUGGGUCCCCACUGCCCUUUACCGUAUUGGAUGGCUCUCAUCAAUGACUGGACAUCUUUAAGGGCAACUGCAUUUGGCACGCUUUGAGAGAGUUAUGUAAGUCCUAACACACCAACAGUGUCUACGCAAUUCAAUACAAAUGGUCAAAGUCGCGUAGGAACUUGGUUGUCCCUAAGAGGGCGCAGCCAACGCCUACGGUGGAGGACUUGCCUCUGGAGGGGCGGGCCAGGCCACCCUCCACUGCCAGCCCCAAGGAGGGGCUGAAGGAAUGGGGCAGUUUUUUUCUUUCAUUCUCACCGUUCGUUCCCUUGAAGACAAAAUACAACAGUUAUGUCCCAUCCUAGCAUGUGGGUUUUGUGACCAACCUGAGGCUGCCGGUAGGAGUUAGAGAACAUGUGAAACGCCCUGGCCACGCAGUGGGUGCAGGGGACCCUGGAGGAGCUCAGUGCUGGCGCAUGUCCCUGGCCCCAACUUGCUGUGUGAUCUUGGGUAAAUCUCUGGGACUAGAUGACGCAAGGAUCUUCAGAGCUACAAAACCCUAAACAUUUUGUUCCAGUGACACACAGAGUUUUCCUCACACUCCGGAAGUCUCCUGUGUCCAGUGCCGAGACCACGAGGGGAACACUGUCCACACUGUCCAGCUUUCGGUGGCACAUCAAUCAACCAGUCAUUGCGAAGCGAAGGCUGUCCCAGCUCUGCAGCCUCCUUCCGGCAGAGGGGACGGGAUGUCUCAGCGUGUGGGAUCCUGGUAGCAGCCUGGCCUGGAGGGAAGGACAGCCAGCCCCUAUCCUGCCAGCAACUUGCCGCUGUGCGACCUCAGCCACCUCCCUGACCCUCUGUGAGCCUGUUUCUCCAGCAAUCAAGGGAAGGGGGUGGGCCAGAUCUAGGGCCCCUUUCAACUCAGUUCUGUGGUUAAUAUUUUAG
rnacentral:lncRNA from 1 species